rnacentral:rRNA from 1 species
UGGGGAAUUUUGGACAAUGGGCGCAAGCCUGAUCCAGCAAUGCCGCGUGCAGGAUGAAGGCCUUCGGGUUGUAAACUGCUUUUGUACGGAACGAAACGGUCUUUUCUAAUACGGUGGGCUCAUGACGGUACCGUAAGGAUAAGCACCGGCUAACUACGUGCCAGCAGCCGCGGUAAUACGUAGGGUGCGAGCGUUAAUCGGAAUUACUGGGCGUAAAGCGUGCGCAGGCGGUUAUAUAAGACAGAGGUGAAAUCCCCGGGCUCAACCUGGGAACUGCCUUUGUGACUGCAUAGCUAGAGUACGGUAGAGGGGGAUGGAAUUCCGCGUGUAGCAGUGAAAUGCGUAGAUAUGCGGAGGAACACCGAUGGCGAAGGCAAUCCCCUGGACCUGUACUGACGCUCAUGCACGAAAGCGUGGGGAGCAAACA